rnacentral:rRNA from 1 species
GCAUAUCAAUAAGCGGAGGAAAAGAAACCAACAGGGAUUGCCCUAGUAACGGCGAGUGAAGCGGCAACAGCUCAAAUUUGAAAUCUGGCUUAGGCCCGAGUUGUAAUUUGCAGAGGAUGUUUCUGGCGCGGUGCCAUCCGAGUUCCCUGGAACGGGACGCCAUAGAGGGUGAGAGCCCCGUAUGGAUGGCCACCAAGCCUGUGUGAAACUCCUUCAACGAGUCGAGUAGUUUGGGAAUGCUGCUCAAAAUGGGAGGUAAAUCUCUUCUAAAGCUAAAUACUGGCCAGAGACCGAUAGCGCACAAGUAGAGUGAUCGAAAGAUGAAAAGCACCUUGAAAAGGGGGUUAAACAGUACGUGAAAUUGUUGAAAGGGAAGCGCUCAUGACCAGACUUGUGCCGGGCAGCUCAUCCGGGGUUCUCCCCGGUGCACUCUGCCCGGUUCAGGCCAGCAUCGGUUUUUGCUGGGGGAUAAGAACGGUAGGAACGUGGCCCUCUCUCGGGAGGGUGUUAUAGCCUACCGUACGAUACCCUAGCGGAGACCGAGGUUCGCGCUCCGCAAGGAUGCUGGCGUAAUGGUCAUCAGCGACCCGUCUUGAAACACGGACCAAGGAGUCGUCCAUUAGAGCGAGCGUUUGGGUGUCAAACCCGCACGCGUAAUGAAAGUGAAAUUAGGUGAGAGCUUCGGCGCAUCAUCGACCGAUCCUGAUGUUCUCGGAUGGAUUUGAGUAAGAGUUUUAACGGACGGACCCGAAAGACAGUGAACUAUGCUUGUAUAGGGUGAAGCCAGAGGAAACUCUGGUGGAGGCUCGCAGCGGUUCUGACGUGCAAAUCGAUCGUCAAAUAUGAGCAUGGGGGCGAAAGACUAAUCGAACUGUCUAGUAGCUGGUUACCGC